AUCUUCUUAGUAUAACCAGUACAACUGACUUCCAAUCAGUAAGAUCCGAAUUAAUGACGGAAGAAGAUA
rnacentral:tRNA from 1 species